GACGUAGGGGGCAAGCGUUUGUUCGGAAUUAUUGGGCGUAAAGCGCUCGUAGGCGGGACAGGAAGUUCGUGUUGAAAGACCUCGGCUCAACUGAGGGACCGGCUCGAAUACUCUUGUUCUUGAGGCAAUCAGAGGGUGAUGGAAUUCCCGGUGUAGCGGAUGAAAUGCGCAGAUAAUCAGGAGGAACACCGGUGGCGAAGGCGGUUCUCUGGGCAUUACCUGACGCUGAGGAGCGAAAGUGUGGGGAGCGAACAGG
rnacentral:rRNA from 1 species